ensembl:lncRNA CCDC140 CCDC140 long non-coding RNA
AAGUGUGGGCGCAGCCGGGACAAUUUCGAGACAACUUCGAGACAAUUUCGAAUGGACAAAUUGCGGAGAAGUUGCUUCUGCCGCUCAGAAGCCGGUUCACCUCCUUCUCCACCGCGGCAUUUCCAAAACAACAGGGACAAGUCUCCCCGGCUCGCCGCAGGCCUGACCGCCCAGCUCCGCCAGGAUUUGCAGAGAGCAGCGCGCUCCAUUUGCAGAAAGGAAAUCGAGACUGGACUCCUUCUGACUCCACGCGGCCCCAGCUCCUGAACCAGCGCAGUGAGCCUCAGCCGCUUCUCAAACUGGGUCUCAGAAAAUUUCUCCUCGAGAUGGAUUUCAGCGGCAGGAAAGAGGGGCCAGUGACGCGAGGAGCAAGAAAAGAGUAACAUGGGAGAUGAAUGUUCAAACCCAGAUCUCCUCGCUGAGCCUGGAAGCUCGCCACCGUGGGAUCACGGGAACCAGAGGCAAGAGGCUGCGAAUGAGUCCAACACCCGCGUUCCUCGAGUUUUAAAAGCACACCUGGGGCCAGAGACUGCACAGCCAACUAAACGGAGUAAACGCAACAGGUGGAGGAGGCAGAGUUGUCAGGGGCCAAGCCCGGCGCGAUCUGGCCAGUUCUUGGGGAGCGCGGACCUGGGACUGCAGAGAGGCGUUUUGAAGAGUGCUGCGCGCACCUGCCUCUCGGAGAUAUCCAACUCCACCCGGGCGUCUCCUGAGAGCGCACAGUCCACAGACCCCGGGAGGGCUGCCCGCCCUAGGACACGUACUCUCCCGACCCCUCACUCUUUCAAAAUUGGGGAAGAGGCGGAGGAGAUGAAAAAGAAGAAAGAGAGAAAGAGAAGAAAAGAGAGAAAGAAGGAAAGAAAUUUUAAAAAAUAAUAAAAGGAGGGAAGAAUGGAGGUAAAACGCGGGGGAGAGAAGAGGGGAGAAACUCUCCUCACCACAACCAAAGCAGGAGGCCUAAGCUUCCUGAAUUUCUACACAUGACUUGCAUUAAGUUCCUUCCUAGAACUUAAACUUUUUCAUCUCCCGUCACCCAAGAAAACACCCAUUUCCUCUUUUAAAUAAAGUUUCUUUUUCUGGAGAUGAACCUUUAAAUAAGUCGUACGUUUGGGAGCGAGGGACAGGAGAAUAAUUUUGAUCCAGAACCUUGGAGAUUGGAGAAGCAGGUGGAAAAAUUCUAAAAAGAUGAAAACUGACCAUCUCCGACACAGAAACCCAUCGAAAGGGGCCACCGAGACCCGUUGAUUAGCUGGAGGGAGCAUGCGGCAGAAGUGCAGACCCCUCGCUAACCCGCCAACCUCCAAGAGCCCUCUUGCAGAAAGCUGCCCGGCUCCCCACGGUGGCCCUGCGCGCGCACCAUCCUCGCGGUCUCGCUUCUUCGCCCCGGAAAACUCUAUGAGGGGCACCCCAGCCUCAGCCGGGUUAAGACAAGUAGCCCCAAGAGGAAGGAGCCUCAGAGAGCCUUUCUUCCUGUUCUUCUUCGUCUUCUUUUUUUUCUAAACGAAAUCUAAUACUAUCUGGCUGCAAAAAUAUAUUAUCACCGGCUCUCAGCCUAAGAGACUAACAUUUGGAUAUGUAGGAAAUGUAAUCUGCAUGGCUAAUUGAUUCUCAGCGUAUCAGUUUAAAGGAUAAAGAUCGAUAUCUACAUGAUGGAUAUUGUAUUAAUAGGGGCAUAAAUAAAGGUCGAAGAGUCGUUACC